UAGUUUUUCAGUAAUUGUGUAUAUAAUAACAAGGAAGAAUGAAAUAAAAUAAACACAGCAUCAUUCUCCACUUCCUAAAGGAGCACGACACAAUGGCUGAUGCUACAAACUCCAUGAACAUGCGGUAAAAAUUAACAUGGACCGAUCAAAAUUGUCGGCUUAGUGUAUCUAUGAACUAUCCGAUCGAUUAAUGACACCGAGAUCCCGACGCGACUACAUGUCAAACAUGACGUUGGAAGAGGGUCCCCUUGCAAUGGCUUCUUUUGCCGACCAUGUGCCCAACCCUAAACCCGUG
rnacentral:lncRNA from 1 species